rnacentral:lncRNA from 1 species
UGUUGCAAUCCUCUAAAAUUUUAUUUAACUUAUUAAUCGGUAAUGAACAGAGCUUUGUUAACAGAUAAUGUCUGCCGUUGUUUUUUGAAAUAGAAAUUAGGUCCGAAAUAUUGGUAUGAUUGGUCCGAAAUUUUCUUUGAUUGCGAUUUUUUCUACGACCAUGAGAACUGUUUUUUCGAACAGUUUUAGAAACAAUAUCCAAAAUGUUAACAGAAUCGGUUCUUGAUAUAUUGCCAAUUCCCAUGAUAUUAUCAUUAAGACCGAGAGGGUAGACUGUCUGUAUUUUUUUAAUCCAAUUUAAUUCAAUUAUUUUCCGUGAUCGUACAAACUUUGAAUGAGAUUCACCAGGCUGCUUAUUUACUACUUCCAAAGGUUGAACUGCUAAAUAUUUAAUAGGAUGAUUGUGCUUCUUAAGGUGUUGAUAAAUGAUACUUUUGAAUUUAUUGGGUCUUUUAAAACGAUACAGAUGUUCUUGAGUGCGUUUAGAUAAAUACCGUCCAGUUUCACCUACGUACUGAAUACCGCAUCCCGGUUU